AUUGAACGCUGGCGGCAGGCUUAACACAUGCAAGUCGAGCGGAGUGAUGGUGCUUGCACUAUCACUUAGCGGCGGACGGGUGAGUAAUGCUUAGGAAUCUGCCUAUUAGUGGGGGACAACAUCUCGAAAGGGAUGCUAAUACCGCAUACGUCCUACGGGAGAAAGCAGGGGAUCACUUGUGACCUUGCGCUAAUAGAUGAGCCUAAGUCGGAUUAGCUAGUUGGUUGGGUAAAGGCCUACCAAGGCGACGCUCUGUAGCGGGUCAGAGAGGAUGAUCCGCCACACUGGGACUGAGACGCGGCCCGGACUCCUACGGGAGGCAGCAGUGGGGAAUAUUGGACGAUGGGGGGAACCCUGAUCCAGCCAUGCCGCGUGUGUGAAGAAGGCCUUAUGGUUGUAAAGCACUUUAAGCGAGCAGGAGGCUCUUUUGGUUAAUACCCAAGAUGAGUGGACGUUACUCGCAGAAUAAGCACCGGCUAACUCUGUGCCAGCCGCCGCGGUAAAAC
rnacentral:rRNA from 1 species